AUGAAAAUAAGUGGAUGGAAAGAAAAAAUGCUAUCUGCUUGAGGAAAGGAAAUAUUGCUCAAAUCUGUUGUACAAGCUAUCCCAACUUAUGCCAUGUCCAUCUUCAAAAUUCCUAAAAAAAUGGUAAAGGAAAUUGACGCGAUGUCGCAAUUUUGGUGGUGUGACGAGGACAACAAGAAGAGGAUGCAUUGGAUGGCAUGGUGGAAGAUGUGUGUCCCAAAAAAUCAAGGAUGUAUGGGUUUCAGAGAUAUACAUUGUUUCAGUCUGGCUUUGCUAGGCAAACAAGCAUGGCAUCUAAUUGAUAAUCCCGACUCCGACAGGAGCCCCCGGGCCUGGGCCACACACGAUGCCGAGCGCUGUUGGGCCAGGCCCAAAACAGGGCACGGGCACGCGCGGCCUGGGUUACGCCGUAUCUCACUCUGUAUCCUCCGCGCCCUCCUCGAACGGCAUGCGUCGAAUGCGGUGUCGUGGGAGAGAUCGUGGGUGGUUUCUUUAUUCGAAAAGAUGGAACAUCUGCCCCCUCCCUCUUUAUAA
rnacentral:rRNA from 1 species